rnacentral:rRNA from 1 species
AUUGAACGCUGGCGGCAUGCUUUACACAUGCAAGUCGAACGGUAACAGGGUGCUUGCACCGCUGACGAGUGGCGAACGGGUGAGUAAUGCGUCGGAACGUGCCGAGUAGUGGGGGAUAACGCAGCGAAAGUUGUGCUAAUACCGCAUACGUACUGAGGUAGAAAGUGGGGGACCUUCGGGCCUCACGCUAUUCGAGCGGCCGACGUCUGAUUAGCUAGUAGGUGAGGUAAAGGCUCACCUAGGCGACGAUCAGUAGCGGGUCUGAGAGGAUGAUCCGCCACACUGGUACUGAGACACGGCCCAGACUCCGACGGGAGGCAGCAGUGGGGAAUUUUGGACAAUGGGCGCAAGCCUGAUCCAGCCAUGCCGCGUGUGUGAAGAAGGCCUUAUGGUUGUAAAGCACUUUAAGCGAGGAGGAGGCUACUUUAGUUAAUACCUAGAGAUAGUGGACGUUACUCGCAGAAUAAGCACCGGCUAACUCUGUGCGAGCCGCCGCGGUAAAAC